GGCCGCGGGAAUUCGAUUCAGGCCUAACACAUGCAAGUCGAGCGGUAGAGAGAAGCUUGCUUCUCUUGAGAGCGGCGGACGGGUGAGUAAUGCCUAGGAAUCUGCCUGGUAGUGGGGGAUAACGUUCGGAAACGGACGCUAAUACCGCAUACGUCCUACGGGAGAAAGCAGGGGACCUUCGGGCCUUGCGCUAUCAGAUGAGCCUAGGUCGGAUUAGCUAGUUGGUGAGGUAAUGGCUCACCAAGGCUACGAUCCGUAACUGGUCUGAGAGGAUGAUCAGUCACACUGGAACUGAGACACGGUCCAGACUCCUACGGGAGGCAGCAGUGGGGAAUAUUGGACAAUGGGCGAAAGCCUGAUCCAGCCAUGCCGCGUGUGUGAAGAAGGUCUUCGGAUUGUAAAGCACAUAGAGUUGGGAGGAAGGGCAUUAACCUAAUACGUUAGUGUU
rnacentral:rRNA from 1 species